UACGGAGGGUGCAAGCGUUAUCCGGAAUUACUGGGCGUAAAGCGUGCGUAGACGGUUAUUUAAGUCGGGUGUGAAAGCCCCGGGCUCAACCUGGGAAUUGCAUUCGAGACUGAAUAGCUAGGGUACGGUAGAGGGAAGCGGAAUUUCCGGUGUAGCGGUGAAAUGCGUAGAUAUCGGAAGGAACAUCAGUGGCGAAAGCGGCUUCCUGGACCAGUACCGACGUUCAGGCACGAAAGCGUGGGGAGCAAACAGG
rnacentral:rRNA from 1 species